rnacentral:rRNA from 1 species
GUAAAUAAUUAAGGGCGUAUGGUGGAUGCCUAGGCUCUCAGAGGCGAUGAAGGACGUGAUAAGCUGCGAAAAGCUCCGUUUAGGUGCAAAUAACCUUUGAUGCGGAGAUCUCCGAAUGGGAUAACCCAAUAUGUUGAAGACAUAUUAUACCGUAAGGUAGGCAAACGCAGGGAACUGAAACAUCUAAGUACCUGCAGGAGAAGAAAACAAAAGUGAUUCCCCCAGUAGCGGCGAGCGACCGGGGAUAAGCCCAAACCGUUAUUGUUUCGGCAGUAGCGGGGUAGUAGGACUGCGACAUUGAUGAAAUAAAUGAAAUGGAACACUUUGGAAAAUGUGAUCACAGAGGGUGAUAAUCCCGUACAUGCAAGUUUAUGAAUCAUAGCAGUAUCCUGAGUAAGUCGGGACACGUGUAAUCCUGACCGAAUCCGCCGGGACCAUCCGGCAAGGCUAAAUACUCCUGAGAGACCGAUAGUGAACCAGUACCGUGAGGGAAAGGUGAAAAGCACUUCGAACAGAAGAGUGAAAUAGUCCCUGAACCCAUACGCCUACAAGCUGUCGGAGCCGCUUCGUGCGGUGACGGCGUGCCUUUUGCAUAAUGAGCCUACGAGUUACUCAUCACCAGCGAGGUUAAGUACUUCAGGUACGUAAGCCGAAGCGAAAGCGAGUCUGAAUAGGGCGUCAAGUUGGUGGUGGUAGACGCGAAACCUUAGUGAUCUACCCAUGGGCAGGGUGAAGGUUUGGUAACACAAACUGGAGGCCCGAACCGGUAAACGUUGAAAAGUUUUCGGAUGACCUGUGGGUAGGGGUGAAAGGCCAAUCAAACUGGGAAAUAGCUCGUACUCUCCGAAAUGCAUUUAGGUGCAGCCUCUGUUGUUUUGUUCUAGAGGUAGAGCUACUGAUUGGAUGCGAGGGCUUCACCGCCUAUCAAAUCCGGCCAAACUCCGAAUGCUAGAACAUGAAGACAGGGAGUGAGCCAGCGGGUGCUAAGGUCCGUUGACGAAAGAGGGAGAACUCAGACCAUCAGCUAAGGUCCCCAAUUGUAUGCUAAGUUGGAAUUAAAACGGGGUGGGACUGCUUAGACAGCUAGGAUGUUGGCUUGGAAGCAGCCAUUCAUUUAAAGAGUGCGUAACAGCUCACUAGUCGAGCGGUCCUGCAUGGAUAAUACGCGGGCAUAAGCAUAUAACCGAAGCUAUGGGAUUGUAGAUGAUACAAUCGGUAGGAGAGCAUUCCAUUCAGCAUAGAAGCAGUACCGUGAGGUAUUGUGGAGCGGAUGGAAAAGCAAAUGUAGGCAUAAGUAACGAUAAUGCGGGUGAGAACCCCGCACGCCGAAAGAUCAAGGAUUCCCCGGCAAUGUCAAUCAUCCGGGGGUAAGUCGGAUCCUAAGGGUAAGCCGAGUGGCGAUCCCGAUGGCAAACAGGUUAAUAUUCCUGUACUGAUCAUAACUGCGAUGCAGCGACGCAGAGGUGACACUGCUGCGUACUGACGGAAUAGUACGUUGAAACCCGUAUUCUUUGAUACCGGUAGUGAAGCACGCCGGUAGAGAUGAAAGGUGAUAGUACCGCAAUGCUUCGGUUGCGCGGAUAACGCAGGUAAGCUGACUGCCAAGAAAACCUGCUAAGCUUCAGGUAAUGAUCAUCCGUACUGUAAACGGACACACGUGAUCAGGUAGAAAAUACUAAGGCGCUCGAGAGAUUCAUGGUUAAGGAACUAGGCAAAAUGGUCCUGUAACUUCGGGAUAAAGGACGCUCUUGUGAAAGAGCCGCAGAUAAUAGGCCCAGGCGACUGUUUACCAAAAACACAUGGCUAUGCUAAUUCGCAAGAAGAUGUAUAUGGCCUGACACCUGCCCGGUGCCGGAAGGUUAAGAGGAGAGCUCAGAGGUAACUCGAAGGUUUGAAUUGAAGCCCCGGUAAACGGCGGCCGUAACUAUAACGGUCCUAAGGUAGCGAAAUUCCUUGUCGGGUAAGUUCCGACCUG